rnacentral:lncRNA from 1 species
CCAAACAGCAUAGAAAUUUUGAGCUUAUUUCAAUUAAGCUGUUUACCAAAACUCACCCAUAACAUAAUAGAAAAGCUGCAAUAUCUAAAGCAUAGCUGAAAAAUUAGCAUUUACCCCAAAUUACCUGCAUACUAAUGGUAUUUCAUCUGGUUUAGGUGGAUCAGGAGCAACAGCAAAACCAAAUGUAUCUCUCCAAUUAGCAGCUUGGCCACUAAACAAGCUAAUAUUGGAAUAAUACAUAGCUUUUUUCUUCAAAUCUCUAGAAUAAAACUCUUUUCUAACCUCAGAAUCCUGUUCAUGAAACCUCCUGAUUCCAUCAAUCAUCUCAUCCAAGACACUAGUGGGAAUUCCAUGAUUAAUCACCUGGAAAAAUCCCCACUCAUGACAUGCACUUCGAAUUUUACCAAUCACCUCUGAAUAUUCAUCAGUGAGGUCUAUGAGGGGAAUACUAGUCAACUUGGAAUUUUCAUGAGUGAUGUCCAAGUGCUUGUUAGCAUGGAACAUGCGUGGGAUCUUGGUUAUCCCACACUCUACAAGGCCUUUGACACCAGCUUUUGAAUCAUCAAAGGCUUUCACUUCAGCUUCCCUAUCAUAAUGAGUGGAAUCUGUGACUUCCUCUAACUGGUUUGUGUUUUUUACCACCAUGUUGAGAGUGAGUUAACCAGCACCUGAAUAGCAGUGCUUGCUGCUUCUUUCUGAUCACAAAAUGUAGAAUCAAUGCUGAGUAUUUAUACAAUGAUUAAAGUCCGAUAAGGAGAGAUGACUAACUCAAAUGGAAGUCAAGGAGGUAUAAAAAAUGUUAUAUAAUUAAACAUAUGGGCUGCUUUCCUUGUUCCAGAAAACGUGAUUGUUUUCUGGCAUAUGUAACUUAAGUCAAAUAAUAUUUAUGUUUUUAAUUUCUGAAAAUAUUAUAUUUUCUUAAUUAAUAGUUUAUUUUACCAACAAGGUGUUGGUUUAGUCGUAGACAAAUUAAAUUCUCAUAAAGGUGAGGUUGCAAGAUCAAAUCCCGAAAAAGUCAUUUAUUGAUAAGGACCUAUUGUAUCACGAAUGGGUUAACAAUUAUAAGGAUAAAAAAAUUAUUAUUUUUAUUUUCUAUAAUUUGAUUUAAUAAAAAUUAUUAUUUAGAAAACUAGGCCAGACAGAUCGGUUCAAUCGGUCCAACCAGGGACGGAUAUAGUGACCAAUAUGAUGAUGACCCAAGUUUCAAAUAAUGAAAACAUGGUAAAAAUAAAUAAUUAAGUUUUAACUUUGUAACUCAAGUAAAAUUAAUUUUCUGUUUUAUUUUUCCUCGGGUUAAUUUUAUUAAUAUAUUUUAUAAAAUGUAUUUACACCAAUCUUUUCAAAUAAUACGUACAUACAUUAUAAUUUAUUCUAUAAAAAAUAUUAUAUACUUUUAAAAAAUAAUUAUUUUUUAUCCUUACAUAUCCUUUUUUUAUCUUUCACCAACCUCACCAUCACCAUCCUCUUUUUAUCCUUCAUUAUUCACGAUGUUCUUCUUCUUUAAUCUUCACCAUUGUAAUUUGUAACCAUCAUCCAACCUCUUCCUUUUCUUCAUCAAUCAUAACAUUCUCUCACCACCAUCCUCUUCCCACAUUAACCCUUCCUCACCCACAAUCUCUUCUAACUUGAGUAACUAGUAGGUCACCUGUAAAAGUGGUUUCUUUGCGUAUAGGUAAAUAAAUUAAUUAAACACUUAUUACAAUAAGCACUUAUCGCAUAAGUGCUUAUUCAUAAGCUAAAAUGAGAAACUUAUUGAAAUAAGCUGAAAAUAGGUUAUAGGUUAUAAUCUCUUAUUCAUAAGCUAACUUGGACAACUAACGAAAGUAAGCUUAAAAUAGCUUACAGGUAGGUCAUAAGCUAUUUAUAAACUCUCUCAAACACUUGCAUGAACACAUAUGCUAGAAUAAGCUCAAAUAAGCUCUUCCAAACAGCAUAGAAAUUUUGAGCUUAUUUCAAUUAAGCUGUUUACCAAAACUCACCCAUAACAUAAUAGAAAAGCUGCAAUAUCUAAAGCAUAGCUGAAAAAUUAGCAUUUACCCCAAAUUACCUGCAUACUAAUGGUAUUUCAUCUGGUUUAGGUGGAUCAGGAGCAACAGCAAAACCAAAUGUAUCUCUCCAAUUAGCAGCU